ACUUUUGUAGUAAAAUAAAUACAUUGAUAUUAAAAAUCAUAGAUGAGAUAUAUUGUCUCCUAAAGUA
rnacentral:tRNA from 1 species